rnacentral:rRNA from 1 species
AGUGAACGCUGGCGGUAGGCCUAACACAUGCAAGUCGAACGGCAGCACAGUAAGAGCUUGCUCUUACGGGUGGCGAGUGGCGGACGGGUGAGGAAUACAUCGGAAUCUACUUUUUCGUGGGGGAUAACGUAGGGAAACUUACGCUAAUACCGCAUACGACCUACGGGUGAAAGCAGGGGAUCUUCGGACCUUGCGCGAUUGAAUGAGCCGAUGUCGGAUUAGCUAGUUGGCGGGGUAAAGGCCCACCAAGGCGACGAUCCGUAGCUGGUCUGAGAGGAUGAUCAGCCACACUGGAACUGAGACACGGUCCAGACUCCUACGGGAGGCAGCAGUGGGGAAUAUUGGACAAUGGGCGCAAGCCUGAUCCAGCCAUACUGCGUGGGUGAAGAAGGCCUUCGGGUUGUAAAGCCCUUUUGUUGGGAAAGAAAAGCAGCAGGUUAACACCCCGCUGUUCUGACGGUACCCAAAGAAUAAGCACCGGCUAACUUCGUG